AAGUGCCUCAGUAUACUACAGCGACGCCGCGUGAGGGAUGACGGCCUUCGGGUUGUAAACCUCUUUCAGCAGGGAAGAAGCGAAAGUGACGGUACCUGCAGAAGAAGCACCGGCUAACUACGUGCCAGCAGAACGACUACUGCGAUCGAUAGCGCGCGGCAUACCUGAGCAUGACUGACUGACGUCUGCAUGCAUGGACUGAGAAUUCCAGGUGUAGCGGUGAAAUGCGUAGAUAUCUGGAGGAAUACCGGUGGCGAAGGCGGCAUCCUGGACCGGCAUUGACGCUGAGGAGCGAAAGCCAGGGGAGCAAACGGGAUUAGAUACCCCGGUAGUCCUGGCCCUAAACGAUGAAUGCUUGGUGUGACGGGUAUCGCGGGGCAACCUGGCGGCGAGUGGCGAACGGGUGAGUAAUAUAUCGGAACGUACCCAAGAGUGGGGGAUAACGUAGCGAAAGUUC
rnacentral:rRNA from 1 species